AUUAAUAUUUGACGAAAUGUCCUUGAAGGAACAUCUGCAGUAUGAUGCAAAGCAUGACAUUGUGAUGGGAUUCUCCGAUGACGGUAGGCAAAGAACACCAGCCGUGGCAAAUUCAGCGCUCCUGAUACUUGUGGCAGGCAUUUCAAAAACGUGGAUUCAGCCUGUUGCUUACACAGUAUCAAGGACCAAAACGCCCGCAGAUACUCUUCAUCAUCUGAUCAUAACAUUAAUCAAGCAGCUGCAGGGAGCCCGGUUGUUUGUGAAGGCGCUCAUCUGCGACCAGGGGGGAAGCAACAUCACUUUGGCAAAUAAGCUAGGUGUGACGCCUGAAGAGCCGUUUUUUGUGCUUGAAGGCCGCAAGAUUUAUUUCCUAUAUGACACACCACACUUACUUAAAUGCACAAGGAAUAAUCUCCGCGCACCUCACAAGCUCCAUAUCGGGCAAGAAAUUGUGGAUUGGUCUUUCAUUACGCAACUAUACGAAAGCUCGCAUCCUCUCAAACUCAAAUUGGCGAAGAAACUAACCGACAACCACAUUUACCGGAAGCCUUUCAAUAACAUGAAAGUUAAAUAUGCCAGCCAGGUGAUGAGCGAAUCGGUCUCAGUGGCCAUUGAUGUAUUCAUUGCUCUUGGCGUGUUGCCGGCAUCCGCCAAACCAACAGCUGAUUUUCUCGAGAAGAUAGAUAAGUUAUUCGACUGUCUGAAUAGCUCUUCUGUAAAAAAAGCCAGUGACAAGUUACGUUAUGCAAUUUCGGAAGGGUCCGAACACCUAGCCUUUUUGCGGGAGUGCCUGUCGUGGGUUGAAAGCUGAAAUUUGACGGGCCUCGGCAACCACACACAGUAUAUUUUUUUAUUUUAAUUUAUCUAUUUGAA
rnacentral:lncRNA from 1 species